AAUGAACGCUGGCGGCAUGCCUAACACAUGCAAGUCGAACGAGAACAGUCGGUGGCUUGUGGACCACGGGUGCGUGAGGCGGGGGUAUCUGCCCUUGGGUUCGGUAUAACAGUAAGAAUUCACUGCUAAUAGCCGAUGAUCACAUUACGUCUAAGGAUUUAUCCCGUGGGGAUCAACCCGUGUAGGAUUUAGUGGUUGGUGUGGUAGAGGCGUACGCAGGCGACGAUCCGGAUCUGGCCUGAGAGGAUCUUCAGCCACACUGGGACUGAGACACGGCCCAGACUCCGACGGGAGGCAGCAGUCGGGAAUCUUACGCAAAGGGCGAAAGCCUGAUAUAGCAAAGCCGCGUGAAGGAUGAAGGACUACGGAUGGGAAAGUGCUGAUGUCCGGAAGGAAGAAAUGUGGUUUUACCCAGGAUGGUCAUGACGGUACCGAAAGAAUAAGCCCCGGCUAACUACGUG
rnacentral:rRNA from 1 species